rfam:Oryza barthii chromosome 5, whole genome shotgun sequence.
AAGACGACACUUUUUUAUUUUUUAUGUCCAACUUUUGAUCGUCCGUCUUAUUUAAAAAAAUAUGAUUAUUAUUUUUAUUGUUAUUAGAUGAUAAAAUAUGAAUAAUGAUUUAUGUGUACUAAUUUUUUUACUAAUCUAUUUUAAAUAAGAUGGAUGGCCAAACGUUGGAUAAAGAGGUACCAGUACGUAAC